rnacentral:rRNA from 1 species
CGGACGGGGGAGUAAUGUCUGGGAAACUGCCCGAUGAGGGGGAGUAACUACUGGAAACGGUAGCUAAUACCGCAUAACGUCGCAAGACCAAAGAGGGGACCUUCGGGCCUCUUGCCAUCGGAUGUGCCCAGAUGGGAUUAGCUAGUAGGUGGGGUAACGGCUCACCUAGGCGACGAUCCCUAGCUGGUCUGAGAGGAUGACCAGCCACACUGGAACUGAGACACGGUCCAG